UGCAUUGUAGGCUUCCACUUUGUCAGUCUGUGAACAAGGAGGCGAAGAGCAUGAAAGGAUAUCAUUAGUUUCCCAAGGAGACUCAGAUAAAGGGAGAGAGAAUCUGAGGACAAAGAUUGCUGGGUCAUAUGAUGUGCUCUCAGGAGGACUUACUGAUGUUGGCUGCAGAUAGCAAAAUAACAAAAUUAUGUUAUAGUCCAGAGCAGCUGCCAAUGGAGGCUAAAACUCAGCCCCCUCUGGGACAGCCAUGCAGAGCUAAAAGGCCCUGGCUCCCACACAGCCAUGCAGCAGAGGUCGAGGCCAGCGAGCAUUUCUGCUAAGUCGCUCCACUCGACGGCCACGGCUGAGAAGUUUGGUUUAUAACCUCUGCAAAGACACAACCGUUUAAUAAACAGACACUCACUGUGGGCGAUGGGUAUAAAUAUCAGGGGACAUCAUCUAAUACCCUCAGUCGUGUAAAUCCAUCCAUGUGUAUGAUAUGCUUCCAUUCUGGGAUAAGGUCAGAAUUAAAUUGGGCUCCCACUGCAGGCAGAAUGACAGUAUUUGCUAUUCUUGAGAUCAUUAUCUCAGAUUUCAUCAAAGCAUGAGGUAAACCAAAAUUGCACACGGAGCCACUAUACAUACAUAUCAAGCACUAUAGUAAGAUUAGAGACGCGUCAUCACUGACUUUAAGCACUAUACACUUGAGUAUAUAUGCAAGCAAGUGAGACCGAAUGUUUAAAUUUCUUUGAUUGCUGACUACAAUAUUUGGUUGUUGCUAAGUGACCGUGAGGAUGAUUCACCCCUCCUCAGGCGAAGGGACAUGCCAACUUCAAUGAAUAAUACUGAGCAGACUAGCCCAACUCAGAGGAAAUCGUGUUGUUAUGAGUUCAGUGAUGUAGCUGUUAUUGUUAGGUGUAAACCAUACCUCUCCCAGUAAUCUGUCAGAGCCGCUGGCCUCCUCACACAGGCAACCCUUACAGAAGACAUUUGUCCUUCUAGCAGAUGAUUUUUUUUUUUUACUGCCUACAAUCAUAAGCUAAUUUCAGUAGUUCUCAGCCUUCAGAUGGAACUCCCCUCAGGGUUGUGAGAUGGUUUUGAAGAAGGUGAGUAUUACAAGAUGAGUGUUAUAAUAAUCAUCAAUAGUAUCAUUUUUAACACAUUAAUGUAGCAAUACACUGACAAUUGGUCUUAUUUAUUUAUUUUUUUGGUGAUUUCAGGCAGCUCUUUUGUUUUAGAUGCCAUUUAGCUUUUUAAUAGGACACUAUUUCACAAUUUGUAUUACUCUUGAUUUUCUAAUCACAAGAAGUGAAUAAGUGUUGUUCGAAUUUGAAGACUUGAAACCUGAAAGGGUUUGAAGUGUCAGCUGAAGUGUAUCCUUGAAAAGAGUUUAAAUGUAAGUUGAAGAGCACUAGAUGAAUAAGCAGUGGAAACAUUUUAAAUAGUUGAAAUAGCCUACUGAAACAGCUGAAGUAUUAGUUGAAGUCACAACACAAAUACCGAAUUAAGUUAAAAUUACAAAAUGAUAAAAUAGUGGUGCUGAAAGGAGUUGAAGUUUAAGGCUUAGAAAUAGGUUAAAGUCGGUGUGUGGAUUCGGUUAAAGAAAUGAUAAACUACAAGAAGAUGUCAGCUGAAGUGUAAACACUCACAGCAGUUAAGUUAAUUGUGUAUGAAAAUGAAAAGUUGUGAAAGAGGUGAAGGCGUUUUUUGUAGUUGUUUAAAAGACCUGAAAGGCUUUGAAGUGUCAAUUGAAAAUGAAGCAUUAAAAAGAGUUGAAAUUGUCAGUUGAAGAGUAAAAGAUGGAAAGGGAGGCAGCAUAUCACAUAUCAGGUCAUACUGUAACUGCUACUAACUGGCGUAAGCUACUUAGUAGCAGUUAGCCAUGCAGCUAACUGGAAAGGACUCCAAAACCUGAGCCAGGCGCGUGGGCAAUGAAACCGGCCUCCCAGUGAUCACAGCCGAUCACAGCCUCCGAGAAAAGGAGGCCAGUUCGAUGACAGAGAAUAUAGUACCGAGGUGAUUUACAGCGGCUCCGACCAGGACCAUCAGAGAGCUUGUAACAGAAUGUAAAGCCAAACACAUGACACAUGUGUCACAAAUAUGGCGCACAACCCGUCCUCCCGCUCUACAAUGGCGAAAAAGCCCAGCAAGCUCUGACUGAUAUGUGCUGGGUCCAGGCUACAAGGAAAAUAGCACUCAUGACUCUUCCCAGGACAAGUGUGCUGGUAGCCUUCUCCAUCCCUUUCUUGUUAGGUAACACAUUCACCAUUCUUUUUCUGUUAAGAAACAGGAUGCACUCAUUACAUCCUGCUAAUUUAGUAUUAAUUCCUCGUCAGCCGCAGUCCGCUGAAAACAAAAGAGGGCCAGAUAAUGUUUUUAACACACUAAAUUUAGCUUUGUUAAACAUUAGGUCUUUGGCAGCAAAAACAUUUUAAUCAGUGAUUUUAUAAUUACUCACAAUGUUAAUUUCAUGUUUUUAAAUGAAACUUGGUUGGACCAAGAAAACAGUGCAGCUGUCCUUAUCGAGUCUACCCUUCCCAA